rnacentral:misc_RNA from 1 species
GAUGAAGAACGUAGCGAAAUGCGAUAAGUAGUGUGAAUUGCAGAAUUCAGUGAAUCAUCGAAUCUUUGAACGCACAUUGCGCCUCCCGGCAUUCCGGGAGGCAUGCCUGUUCGAGCGUCAUCAAACACCAUCGUGCAAAUGAAUUACUUUGAUUUUUUCGCGCGGACGUGACGAUUGAGCGGAAACUUUCUUCGCACCUCGUCGAAAUGAUUGCGGGCGGAAUUUGGGUUCGGGUUCCUCGGCGUAGUGUACCAAUGCAUAUUUAUGCAACUUGCCGCGGAGUUGAGCCUGACCCACGCGUUCUCGCCGUACAAACACACAUAUCUUUACAAGUUUUUGACCUCGGAUCAGGUAGGGAUACCCGCUGAACUUAAGCAUAUCAACAAGCGGAGGA